CUACAACUGCCCGAUCCAGAACCAGCGCCCACACUAGACCCAAUUAGUUGUGCACUAGGUAAAUUUGAAGUCAUAAGCGCAAAACUAGGUCGUUUUGAGCUAGGGUUACUUAGCCAAAAUCUAGCUCAUCUUUUUUCUCUUCGGCCGCCUCUUAUUUCGUUAAGAUCUACUCUCUUUCUUCUGUUACACUCUCUAUAAGUUUCGCUUGGCGGAGCUUUUGGUUCGUGAAAUCAUCUUCUUUUCAUUUUCGCUUCGAUUUUGUUUUUGAUUUUGAAUAGCGUUUCCAAAAUGGAGUUUGUAAGGCAACAAAAUAGAGUCUCUGGAUUGCUUUGAUUUUUAAUAGCGUUUUCAGUGCUGUACGUUGCCAAUACUGAUUUGGUGCUGAGAUUCUGGCAUUUUCCUCAAUUUUCUCCUUGAGGCUUAUGCAUUCAGAUGUACCCACAUACCCAUUUACAUUUGCUUUUGGAAUUUUUUAGAGAAGUGACAGAGAUGAUUUUCAAUGGAAGAAAACUAGUAUCAUCCUCAUUUAAUCUCCCUUUUGUAUUUUAAGUGGUUUUAGCAUGAAUUGGGAUAGUCUUAAGUUUAGAAUAAUUUUAUUGAAGUUUGUUUGAAAUAUGAAAUUUUGAUUCUUAUUGUCUGAAUUUGUUGAUUUGGGUAUGUUGGGGAUGGUGGGAGGGAAAAGGAGAUAUUAUUUGCACAUGGAGAAAUUAGCAAGAUGGAGAGGGAGAGAGGGAAAGGAAAAAGAUUGGGAAAGAGAGAAUUUAUUUUAUUUAUCUAUUAUUUAUUUUUUUAAUACAGAUAAUUAUGUUUUUUUAAUUAAAUUUGUCAGAAGAAAUUAUGAAUGAUAAAACUUUGUUGAUUUAGUUUAGGUUUCAUAUAUGGUUGCAUCCACGAGCAGAAAAUUAACUUGCCUUUGGGUAAACCACGCUAAGGAUGAUAUUUAGAAAGCUGUAAUUCCAAUAUAGAUCUUUAUCCCAAGUAGAUCAAACUACACCUAUUAAGGAAGAAACUCAAAAGAACAAUAAUAAAUCAAGCCAGUAAAACCCAGAGAACAAUUGAAUAAAAAAAAAAAAAUCAAGGGUUAGGAUUUCUCAACGUAGCAUAUUUUAUAGUAAAACUGAAAAUAAAGAAAUUAGUCUCUUCAGAUUCAAAUGGUUCUUGAAUAUGUUAAUAAUAUCUGGAACCUCGGAAGUUUUCUUGAGGCUUCUCGGACUUCAUCCUGAGGUUAGGGAUGUAGGAGACCCAUGGGUCUAUACAAAUGCAAGUAUUUACGCUGCUUCUAAUGUUCCGGUGGCCGCUUACCUGAUGACUUUCCUUGCAGUAGCGUGCUACUUUACAUCCGAGAUGGCCUAUGGUCCUUCGUUGUAUUACAAAAAUCUUAAAUCCAAGAGGACUUGGGAUUUUAAACAAUCUGCUAUUUUUGCAUAGCCAGGAAGGUUUGGUUGAACAUUACCAUCUCAUUCAUGGGAAGUUUUGGUCAAGUUGACAACUGAUCUAGACUAAUUCGGUAUCGUUCAAGAGGUUGGUUUUAUCUUUUUGGCAAAUUGGAACUCGAGAAAUGUAACACUUUUCCAAUCUAAUGUGACUGAUCCUAGAAAAUUAUCUUAUGAAAAUAUAGAGAAAUACAUUAA